CGAACACUUAACUUUUAUUUAUUACUAAUUUUUACAAACACAACAAUUAUCGAGAAAUUAACCUUAACCACGAACUUAAUCGAAAAUAAUGACCGAGAAUUACAAUUUAAAUUAACCAAGCAAACAACCAUUACUUUGAAUAUAAAAAUGAUCAACGGACUCGUCAUGAAACAACGACCUAUCGUUCCGAAAGCCGAGAAGCAAAUGAGCCCUCUGAACGGGUAGGGACUGCUUUUAUUGACGUUGUUGCAUGACGUUACAAAACGUAUUAGCGGGUAGGGAACUAUUUUUAUUAACACUGUUGCACGACGUCACGAAACGUAUUAAAAUAAUCGAUAUUAUGCUAACACGGCCUCUCCUGACCGCGCGCCGUCCCCGGCGUGACAAAGCCAGCCCCGCGGCCACGAACCCGCCUCUCCAGCGUGGCGACCACGGGCAAAACACACGAGUUCACGCCACGCUUGGCGCAAAC
rnacentral:misc_RNA from 1 species